UGUUGUAGGUGUGUUGGUGUAAAAAUUAAUGCUGACUGAACUCAGGCAGUUGUGCUGGACCUUCUGUACCUUAUACAGGAGAUGACGGUAAACUUUGAAGUUUAAGAGGUUCUGUCAUUUUAGUUAUAAGUACAAGGUGUGUUGGUGUAGAAAUUGAUGCUGACUGAACUCAGGCAGUUGUGCUGGACCAUCUGUACUUCAUACAGGGGAUGACAGUAAACUUACAAGUUUAAGAGCCACCUGAUGAUGAGAAAGACAUUUUCAAUGUAGGCAUCUUGAUGAAGAAGAGUCCACAGUCACAAUAACAAGAUCAUUGAGCUGUCCCCUAAUUGUGGUCAGCUACGUUUAGUCUCUUAUGUGCUAAACAUUAUGUAGCCUAAGGAAGCAGCCCUGACUCUGUAGUUUUUAUGAAGGAGCAUGCUGAGUAACUAUCCAGAACGUAGGUCCAAAGCAGAAAAAAGGGCACCAAGCAGAAACAUACCAUCUAAACUCCUUCGAUUCCUGUCAGACCAGAAAGACUUUGAGAAUCCUUGGAAGAUUUAAAGCCAUUGAAGUAUCAGUAUUGGAGAGGAAGAAGACCCAGUUGUAUCGUCUGUUUCCUGCCAUCUUGCAGUUAACCUGGUUUCUUAAUGUAAAGUACUUGUAAUUUGCCCACUUGUCCUUAAUUAUCUUGAAGCUAAGAUUUAAAACUAAAUUGCUAAAAGAUUAUUUGCAAAGACUUCUUACUGUGCGAUUCACAUGUCAAUAUGUAUUAUUGUGUGUAUAACUGGCUAUUUGGAAUUCAAAUGAUUUGUAUUCAUUAAAGAAUCUGUUUUAAUUGC
ensembl:processed_transcript